GGCGGCGGCUCCCGCGGCGGGCGCGGGCGGGGAUCCGGCGGUCCCGGCCCUACCCGCCGCCUCCCCAACCGGUCCGGCAACCGACCGUCCCCGUACGCGUCGGGGAAGGCACCAGACUCGGCGUGGCAGCACGACAUGUUCACGGAUCAGAUGGCGGGAGGGUACGCCGCUUUGCCGCCAAGGGCGUCGGCGAUCGAGACGGGCACGAAGCUGUACAUCUCCAACCUCGACUAUGGCGUGUCUAACGACGACAUCAAGGAACUCUUUUCAGAGG
rnacentral:misc_RNA from 1 species